GCAUAUCAAUAAGCGGAGGAAAAGAAACCAACAGGGAUUGCCCCAGUAACGGCGAGUGAAGCGGCAAGAGCUCAAAUUUGAAAGCUGGCUCCUUCGGGGUCCGCAUUGUAAUUUGUAGAGGAUGCUUCGGGAGCGGUCCCCAUCUAAGUGCCCUGGAACGGGACGUCAUAGAGGGUGAGAAUCCCGUAUGGGAUGGGGUGUCCGCGCCCGUGUGAAGCUCCUUCGACGAGUCGAGUUGUUUGGGAAUGCAGCUCUAAAUGGGUGGUAAAUUUCAUCUAAAGCUAAAUAUUGGCCGGAGCCCGAUAGCGCACAAGUAGAGUGAUCGAAAGAUGAAAAGCACUUUGAAAAGAGAGUUAAAAAGCACGUGAAAUUGUUGAAAGGGAAGCGCUUGCGACCAGACUCGCUCGCGGGGUUCAGCCGGCAUUCGUGCCGGUGUACUUCCCCGCGGGCGGGCCAGCGUCGGUUUGGGCGGUCGGUCAAAGGCCCUCGGAAGGUAACGCCCCCAGGGGCGUCUUAUAGCCGAGGGUGCAAUGCGACCUCCCUAGACCGAGGAACGCGCUUCGGCUCGGACGCUGGCAUAAUGGUCGUAAACGACCCGUCUUGAAACACGGACCAAGGAGUCUAACAUCUACGCGAGUGUUCGGGUGUCAAACCCGUGCGCGAAGUGAAAGCGAACGGAGGUGGGAACCCUCACGGGUGCACCAUCGACCGAUCCUGAAGUCUUCGGAUGGAUUUGAGUAAGAGCGUAGCUGUUGGGACCCGAAAGAUGGUGAACUAUGCCUGAAUAGGGCGAAGCCAGAGGAAACUCUGGUGGAGGCUCGUAGCGGUUCUGACGUGCAAAUCGAUCGUCAGAAUUUGGGUAUAGGGGCGAAAGAC
rnacentral:rRNA from 1 species